rnacentral:snRNA from 1 species
GUGCUCAUUUCAGCAGCACAUACACUAAAACUGAAAUAAUACUAAGAAGAUUACCAUGGCCCCUGUGCAAGGAUGACACGCAAAUUUGUGAAGCAUUCUAUAUUUUU